rnacentral:tRNA from 1 species
GGGGGUACAGCUCAAUGGUAGAGCAUUCGACUGCAGGUUGAGAGGUCCUAGGUUAAAACCCGGGUGUCCCCU